rnacentral:rRNA from 1 species
GAUGAACGCUAGCGAUAGGCCUAACACAUGCAAGUCGAGGGGCAUCACAUGAAGUAGCAAUACGGAUGGUGGCGACCGGCGCACGGGUGAGUAACACGUAUGCAACCUGCCUUCAACAAGGGGAUAACCCGUUGAAAGACGGACUAAUACCCUAUAACACAGGGGUCCCGCAUGGGAAUAUUUGUUAAAGGACAACCGGUUGAAGAUGGGCAUGCGUUCCAUUAGCUAGUUGGCGGGGUAACGGCCCACCAAGGCAACGAUGGAUAGGGGAACUGAGAGGUUUAUCCCCCACACUGGUACUGAGACACGGACCAGACUCCUACGGGAGGCAGCAGUGAGGAAUAUUGGUCAAUGGACGCAAGUCUGAACCAGCCACGUCGCGUGAAGGAAGACGGCCCUACGGGUUGUAAACUUCUUUUAUACGGGAAUAAAGUGCCCCACGCGUGGGGUUUUGCAUGUACCGUAUGAAUAAGGAUCGGCUAAC